GACGAACGCUGGCGGCGUGCCUAAUACAUGCAAGUUGAGCGCUGAAGGUUGGUACUUGUACCGACUGGAUGAGCAGCGAACGGGUGAGUAACGCGUGGGGAAUCUGCCUUUGAGCGGGGGACAACAUUUGGAAACGAAUGCUAAUACCGCAUAAAAACUUUAAACACAAGUUUUAAGUUUGAAAGAUGCAAUUGCAUCACUCAAAGAUGAUCCCGCGUUGUAUUAGCUAAUUGGUGAGGUAAAGGCUCACCAAGGCGAUGAUACAUAGCCGACCUGAGAGGGUGAUCGGCCACAUUGGGACUGAGACACGGCCCAAACUCCUACGGGAGGCAGCAGUAGGGAAUCUUCGGCAAUGGACGAAAGUCUGACCGAGCAACGCCGCGUGAGUGAAGAAGGUUUUCGGAUCGUAAAACUCUGUUGGUAGAGAAGAACGUUGGUGAGAGUGGAAAGCUCAUCAAGUGACGGUAACUACCCAGAAAGGGACGGCUAACUACGUG
rnacentral:rRNA from 1 species